rnacentral:rRNA from 1 species
UACAGAGGUCUCAAGCGUUGUUCGGAUUCAUUGGGCGUAAAGCGUGCGUAGGCGGUUGCUUAAGUCUGUUGUGAAAUCCCCGGGCUCAACCUGGGAAUGGCAAUGGAUACUGGGCAGCUAGAGUGUGUCAGAGGAUGGUGGAAUUCCCGGUGUAGCGGUGAAAUGCGUAGAGAUCGGGAGGAACAUCAGUGGCGAAGGCGGCCAUCUGGGACAACACUGACGCUGAGGCACGAAAGCGUGGGGAGCAAACAGG